rnacentral:rRNA from 1 species
AUACGGAGGGUGCAAGCGUUAAUCGGAAUUACUGGGCGUAAAGCGUACGUAGGCGGUUCGUUAAGUUAGAUGUGAAAGCCCCGGGCUUAGCCUGGGAACUGCAUUUAAAACUGGCGAACUAGAGUUGAGUAGAGGGGAGUGGAAUUUCAGGUGUAGCGGUGAAAUGCGUAGAGAUCUGAAGGAACACCAGUGGCGAAGGCGACUCCCUGGACUCAAACUGACGCUGAGGUACGAAAGCGUGGGUAGCAAACGGGAUUAGAAACCCUAGUAGUCC